AAAUUGAAGAGUUUGAUCAUGGCUCAGAUUGAACGCUGGCGGCAGGCCUAACACAUGCAAGUCGAACGGUAACAGGAAGCAGCUUGCUGCUUUGCUGACGAGUGGCGGACGGGUGAGUAAUGUCUGGGAAACUGCCUGAUGGAGGGGGAUAACUACUGGAAACGGUAGCUAAUACCGCAUAACGUCGCAAGACCAAAGAGGGGGACCUUCGGGCCUCUUGCCAUCGGAUGUGCCCAGAUGGGAUUAGCUAGUAGGUGGGGUAAAGGCUCACCUAGGCGACGAUCCCUAG
rnacentral:rRNA from 1 species